CCUACGGGAGGCAGCAGUGAGGAAUAUUGGUCAAUGGGCGCGAGCCUGAACCAGCCAAGUAGCGUGAAGGAUGAAGGCCCUACGGGUUGUAAACUUCUUUUAUAAAGGAAUAAAGUGAGGCACGUGUGCAUUUUUGUAUGUACGUUAUGAAUAAAGAACGGCUAACUCCGUGCCAGCAGCCGCGGUAAUACGGAGGCUCCGAGCGUUAUCCGGAUUUAGUGGGUUUAAAGGGAGCGUAGAUGGGUUGUUAAGUCAGUUGUGACAGUUUGCGGCUCAACCGUAAAAUUGCAAUUGAUACUGGCAGCCUUGAUUUCAGUUGAGGUAGGCGGAAUUCGUGGUGUAGCGG
rnacentral:rRNA from 1 species